rnacentral:rRNA from 1 species
UACGGGGGGAGCAAGCGUUGUUCGGAUUUACUGGGCGUAAAGGGCGCGUAGGCGGUCGUGACAAGUCACUUGUGAAAUCUCCGGGCUUAACUCGGAACGGUCAAGUGAUACUGUCGGACUAGAGUACAGAAGGGGCAACUGGAAUUCUCGGUGUAGCGGUGGAAUGCGUAGAUAUCGAGAGGAACACCUGCGGCGAAGGCGGGUUGCUGGGCUGAUACUGACGCUGAGGCGCGAAAGCCAGGGAGCGAACGGG